rnacentral:rRNA from 1 species
AAAUUGAAGAGUUUGAUCAUGGCUCAGAUUGAACGCUGGCGGCAAGCCUAACACAUGCAAGUCGAGCGGCAACGAAAUAAGAGAAGGUUUUAUUUUUUUUAUUGUCGGCAAGCGGCGGACGGGUGAGUAAUAUCUGGGGAUCUGCCUUAUGGAGAGGGAUAACUAUUGGAAACGAUAGCUAAUACCUCAUAAUGUCUUGUAAAAGACCAAAGUAGGGGAUUUUAUAUAUUUUAUAUGGAACCUUAUACCAUUAGAUGAACCCAGAUGGGAUUAGCUAGUAGGUAGAGUAAAAGCCUACCUAGGCAACGAUCCCUAGCUGGUCUGAGAGGACAAUCAGCCACACUGGAACUGAGACACGGUCCAGACUCCUACGGGAGGCAGCAGUGGGGAAUAUUGCACAAUGGGCGAAAGCCUGAUGCAGCUAUGCCGCGUGUAUGAAGAAGGCCUUCGGGUUGUAAAGUACUUUCAACAAGAAAGAAAUAAUAAGAUUUAAUACAUUUUAUUACUGACGUUACUUGUAAAAGAAGCACCGGCUAACUCCGUGCCAGCAGCCGCGGUAAUACGGAGGGUGCUAGCGUUAAUCGGAAUUACUGGGCGUAAAGAGCACGUAGGCGGUUAAUUAAGUCAGGUGUGAAAUCCCUAAGCUUAACUUAGGAACUGCAUUUGAAACUAAUUAACUUGAGUUUCGUAGAGGGGGGUAGAAUUCUAGGUGUAGCGGUGAAAUGCGUAGAUAUCUGGAGGAAUACCAGUGGCGAAGGCGACCCCCUGGACGAAUACUGACGCUCAGGUGCGAAAGCAUGGGGAGCAAACAGGAUUAGAUACCCUGGUAGUCCAUGCCGUAAACGAUGUCGACUUGAAGGUUGUAAGCUUGACUUAUAGCUUUCGUAGCUAACGCGUUAAGUCGACCGCCUGGGGAGUACGACCGCAAGGUUAAAACUCAAAUGAAUUGACGGGGGCCCGCACAAGCGGUGGAGCAUGUGGUUUAAUUCGAUGCAACGCGAAAAACCUUACCUGGUCUUGACAUCCAUGGAAUUUAAUAGAGAUAUUUUAGUGCCUUCGGGAACCAUGAGACAGGUGCUGCAUGGCUGUCGUCAGCUCGUGUUGUGAAAUGUUGGGUUAAGUCCCGCAACGAGCGCAACCCUUAUUCUUUGUUGCCAUCAGCUAGGCUGGGAACUCAAAGAAGACUGCCGGUGAUAAACCGGAGGAAGGUGAGGACGACGUCAAGUCAUCAUGGCCCUUACGACCAGGGCUACACACGUGCUACAAUGGUAUAUACAAAGAGAAGCAUCCUUGUAAAAGUAAGCGGAUCUCACAAAAUAUAUCUUAGUUCGGAUUAGAGUCUGCAACUCGACUCUAUGAAGUCGGAAUCGCUAGUAAUCGUAGAUCAGAAUGCUACGGUGAAUACGUUCCCGGGCCUUGUACACACCGCCCGUCACACCAUGGGAGUGGGUUGUAAAAGAAGUAAGCCAUUUAACCUUUGUAAAAAGGAGGAUGCUUACCACUUUAUGAUUCAUAACUGGGGUGAAGUCGUAACAAGGUAACCGUAGGGGAACCUGUGGUUGGAUCACCUCCUUU